rnacentral:lncRNA from 1 species
GCAUGGCGGAUGUCUUCUUUCCGCUUGUUGUCAACGUACGACUCGGUUUUGGAAGAUCGAGGAGCGGAUUUUGCUACAGGUGCCAUUGAUUGUUUUUCUAAACGCUAACCCUAAUUUAGUGGCGAGAGAGUGUAAAUUAAAAAAGGAGGUAGGGGUAAACGAGAAAGAGAGAAACCCUAGAGAGCGAUGGAAUGAGAUCGAGAGAGUUCUGUAACGAUGAAAAAAGUCGGGUUUCUAAACGGCGAAGCGACUGAGUUUUUUAAAUAGCGAAAUCGACUCCAACUAGUAUAUUGGCACGUAAAAAAAAAUUAAAGUGCAAAAACAAAAUAUUCAAUGAAUUAUAUCUUUUAAAAAAAUAAAUUUUAAUUAUGAAUUAAAAGAUUUUUUUAUUUAAUAUUAUGAUGAAAAAUAAAUUUAUUUAGGUUAACAUGAGUUAGCUAUAAAUUCAUUUAUGGGAUAUUCUUGAAAAAAAAAAAAAAGCUCAAAACCAAAUUAACUCAAUAUUAAAGAAUAAAAUUAAUAAAAAAUAAUAUUUAUUUUUUAAAAAAUUAAAUAAACUCGAGUCAACCAAGCAAAUUUACAACAUAAAUCAUACAUGUCAUCAAAUUUAAUAAAUUUUUAUCUCAAAAAUUAUUUUUAUAUAAUUAUGCGAUAAUAAAAUAAAUAAUAAAUUUUUUAUAUUAAACAUUUUGUUUGGAAGUAAAAAAAAAUGGUGAUGGGCAUAUGAUACCAAGAUAGUAAAAGCACAUCAUUAAUUACAAAGAAUGAAAUUAUUAUUUUUUAAAAAAAAGGCACAAAAAGCAUUAAACAAAAAAAACAAAUAAUAAUUCAAAUACUAUGAAUUAAUCCAUUAAAUUUACAAUUUAGCUUAUGAAUUCAGUUGAGUUGAAUGAAUUUUUUAUCAAUUUUUUUAACUCAAAUAUAAAAUAAAAAACAAAACACCUAGACGGAGCUCAUGUGCAUGGGACUUUCAGCCCAGCCUGUGAAUUUGGGCAUGUCUUUGUUUCUUAAAAUAUUCUUAUAGGAGCAUACAAAUGUCAUUCAUCCUAUUUUUUACAAAAAAAAAGGGUCAUUAAAUGAUGCCGUAUGCCUUUGUAGAAUUCGGCAACAAGAGGUUAGCAAAAAAAUAGGAUUUUAUUUUUUGUCUUAAAACUCAUUUUCAUCUAUUUUUGACCUAAAACAUCUAAAAAAAACCUCAAAACACUUUGAUAAAUCUAUUAAUGACCUUAAAAAAUCAAAAUCAAUCCAAAUCUAAAAAUAUUCUCGUGAUCAGACAUGUCUCCUCGAGCAAGAAGAAAAAACAAAACACUUAGGUAAAACCACCCUUGAAAUGGAACUCAUUGAUACAAUUUAAAUUUUUUUGUAGCUGAAAUCAUCAUCAAUAAUCAUUUUCUUUUUUUACAUUGGAAUUCAGUCCUUCUCUCCUCUCAAUAAAAAAAAAAUGAUUGGAAAAUAAGAAAAAUGAAACUUUAGUAUUAAAAUUAAUUUUUUAACAACUAAAGGAACCGGUCACCUAUAAACUUAAAAAGAUAGGAGAUCCAAAUAAUUUUUUUAUAUGAAAUUUAAAGCCACCACCUAUUUUACCCACUAUUUUCACUUUGAUCUUUUGAUUUUCAAUCCAACCCUUCCUAAAAACCUAUGCAAUCAGAUGUUAAUUUUGGCUCAAAAUGAUUCAAUUAUAUAUAAAAAAGUUAAAAAUCAAAUUGAAACUUUUAAAAAACUUGACUAUUACAAUCCACAACGAUUUAAAAGAGAAUGAACAGUAUUGUACAAAUGUUUUGGCAAUAAGCUCUAGUUUCUUGUAAUUUCCUUUUUUUUUACUAUAAAGUAAGUACAAUAUUUAUAUCUAAGUAAUUUAGUUACAAAAAAUAAAAUAAAAUUAGCUAUUUAACUUGCACUUCGGGUAUGUAAACUAUUUUGAUGUGUUUUUUUACAUAAAAAAUUCAAAGUAUAAAUCUAAAAGCCUAUGCAAACAUAUAAUUUAAUAAAUCGAUAAUCAUUUAUGUAAAUAAACAGGGGGAAAUCAUUAAAAUAAUUAAAAGAGAAAUUAAAAAAUUUAGACAUGGAUAUAGAUCAGGAUAUUUAAUCACACAAAAUAAAAUAUUUAUUCGAUUGUGUUUACUUAACUUGUUUAUUUAAAUCAAUAAAAGAUAAUAGAAAUAUAAACACAUAUAAAACUGAUUGAAUAAACCACAACCUAAAACAAAUAUUGCACAAGACCGAACAUAUCGGGAAUAUUAUUUAAAAAAUAUUUUUUAGAAAAUAAAUUUCAUUUGUAUAAAACAAAAAAAAUAUAGAUCAAUUAGAAUAAUAUCUUCAAAAACCAAAUACAAACAAAACAAUUUAAAAAAUAUAUGUUCAAAAAAUAUACAUGAAUCCUGUGACCUGGGUCAUGAGACCGAAAUAAACUCAUAAAAAAAAUCGCAAAACCAAUCUUUUUUUAAAAAAAUUAAUGUAGAAUGAUAAAGUCAUAAAAGAAAAUGAGCAAAAAUGAAAAAACCAAUACGAACGACAUUAACUUUUCAAACUCGUGACACGGGUCAUUAGAUUGGAAGCACCUUGUAAAUUAUUGUUAAAGGCUGAAAACUUGAAUGACUUGUGGUUAGUAAUAACCUAACUUUGAAAAAAUUAAUCAAACCUAAAAAAAGAUCAAAUCUUUAAGUUAUCUUUUCUCAAAUCAUAAACAAACGUAAAUUAUGUAAUUUAAUUAUUGGGACUCCCAAGAAAAUUUUAAAUUAUUGUUUCAUUGCAUGUAUGUGUUUGAGAAAUUCAAUAAUGGUAUUAGAGCCAUCGUUAGAAAAUUAAAGUUGUUCAUUGUAUGUUUUGAUUUUAUUGGUAUUAAUUAUGAAUUAAUUUUAUGUGCAAAAUUAUUUUUCUCUAAUGAUUUUUUUAUAUUAAAAAGAUCUUUGAUUAUUAACAGUCAAAUCAAGUAGAUUUUUUAAAUGUGGUCGGAAUCCACCAUGAAAUAAAAAGAAGAAUUGAUUUCUAAAAUAUUCUAAUUGGUUUAGGAUUUAAUUAAAAUUUUUAAUUAAAAUAUUUUAGAAAAAUGAUUUUUCUAAAAUAAAGAGAUUUUUAAGCUGAAAUAUUUUAUUUAAUUGAUGCUAAAAUAGUUUAGGAUGUUAAUAAUAAUUUUAAUAUGAUUAAGUUCCUUAUUAAAUCUUAAAAAAAGGUUUAUAAAGCAAAUCAAUAUUAAGUAAAAUUUUAAAAGUUUAAAAAUUAUCAAAUUGAGUUUGAUUUAAUAUUUCUAAAUAUUAGAAAUAUUAUUUUAAAAUUUCACAUAAAAUCAAUAAUUAAAAUUAAAGAAUGCAAUAUUUAAUGUUGCUGAUUUAAGUGUUUCUAUGCGUAAUUGAUGAUUAUGGACGUUACAAGACCAAUGAGAUUGCAUUUUUUAUGGUUAAAUGGUUACAUUAUUAAAUAGAGCCUCAAAAUCCUGCAUUUUCUCUACUUUUCAUAUGUGUUGUAAAUAUUUUCUCAUUAAUUCUUUUUAAAUAUAACUUGAGGUUUUUUAUUUAAUUAUAUAAAUUUUAUGUAAUUUUAAAAUAUAAAAAAAUUGAAAAUUAUUUUGUAAUCUAAAAUGAAAAAAAGACCCAAUUUUAUUAUAAAUGUGAUGAAGCCUUUUAAUGGACAAGAUUAAAUGCGUACCUCAUUUUUGUAGUUAUGUCUUUAUUGGACUCAUGAAGUUUAGUUUUUUAUUUUAUUUUAUUUUUUAAGAGAACUUUAAUGAAAAUGUCCCUAAUUUUUUUUUAAUAUUUUUACUUUGUAUUAAUUAUUUAUUUAAAUUUUAAUUAACACUCUCUCUUUGAUCUUUUAAUUUUUGUUCAUCUUUUAAUAGUAAUUAUUUAUAAUUUUAUAAUGUCUCAAAUAGAUUAUUCUAAUUUAUCUUUUAAAUAUUUUAUUUUAUAUUUGAUAUAAAUAAAUUAUAUUUGCAUGAUGUUUUAUAAAAAUAAAAAUCAAUCAUUUUGAUAAAGAAUAAAAAUGCAUAAAUUAAAAAGAAAUGUCAUGGUUAAACAUCCAUAUAUGUUUUUGACUUUUAAUGGAAAGAUUGACUUUCUAUUUUAUCUUUUAAAAAAUAUUAAAUAUCUUUUCUAGUUUAUGGGUUCACUAAUAUUUUGAUUUAAAUUUAAAUUAAUAUUUCUUCUCUGUUUUUGUAAAUGUUUUAGUUCACCUUUCUUAAACAUUAGUUUGUUUUUUUUUUUUAAUUAUUUUGUAUUUUUAUAAUGUCUUAAAGAGAUUAUUAUUUUUUAUUUGUUAUUUGAUAUAUAUAUAUAUUUUAUUUGCAUGGUGUAUUUAUAAAAAUAUAAAUGAAUUGUUUUUGGUAAGAAAAAAACCUCUAAAACAAAAAAAUAAAAUAAAAAAGUGUGAAUUGAAAAAAAAUAUUGGGGUUAAAUACUUGCAUCCUCAACUAAAAAUUUGCUUUUUAUUUAAGUAUUUAAUUAGUAUUAAAAACUGUUUCAUAUGAUUUAUAUACUAUUUUAUUUUAUUAAACAUAAAUAGCAUAUUUGUACUUCUCAAUUAAAAAAUAUUAUACAAUAAAAUGUUUUGUAAAACUGAUAUAUUUUCUUAUACUAUGUUAAAAAUUAAAAUAAAAUCUUACUUGCAAUAUAAACAACAUGUUUAUGUUUAUGAAUUAAAAAAAUCAUAAUAUUUUAAAAUAUAUUUAUAUUAUGAACACAUUAUUUAAGAUAAUCUUUAAAAUUAACUUAAAAUUAUAGGUAAAAAGCCGAGCAGGCCGAAACUCCUCCAAAGCUCCACCAUCCAAAAUUGCCUAAAACAAUUUAUAAACCAAAAAAGAAAAAAAAUAGGGCUAUCCAUUCUUCGAACUUGCAAACAACCCUCAUUCUCCACAAUCAACUAACUCAGCGAGAAAGAAAACAACCCUCUCACGUUCUCUCUCUUCUGCACUAAAAUUUUCAAAAACACAGGUUGUUUGUCAGAGUAGUAGAAGUAGUAUUUCUGAACCAAAAACCCUAAUUCAAGCAAAUGUAACAAAAACCCUUCUAAAACCCCAGCAAGCAACCAAAAAAAAAGAAGAAAAAAGAAGAGAAAACCAUGCCUUGCUGUAUCAGAAUGAACACAAUCAUGUCUCUAAGACCCACUUCCACCAAAACAGCAAAAUCUCUCCAUUUCCAUUACAAAGCUAAAACCACCCUUAAACCCUCUUUAUUUUCUUCAUCAUCUUUUGUUUCCGUUAGAAACCACCAAACCCUAUCUUUUACUAACCAGCCAUUGCCCCGCCCUCUUCGAUUCAGGCAUCAUGGGAUUUUUUCAUUCAAGUGUUUUAUUGUUGCUGAUUUUCAUUCCAAGAAACUUGCUUUGCCAUAUACCAGGUCUAUGCAGAGCUUUAAUUAUGGCAGGUUUGCUUACCGGGAUGUUUCUAGUGAUGAAUCCGAUUAUGAAUUAGGCUCCUCCCAGAAGGAAAUGGUUGGUUUUUGGUUCGAUUUUGUUUGAUUUUUCACAAUUUAGCUCUUAAAGUGUUUCCCCCCCCUUUCAAUGCUGACUGAAUAUAUCAUUUGCUUCAGCUGCCCUUUUUGUCCCUUUGAAGAAAAAACUAUGCCUAUUUUCAGCACACUCGAUGAAACUUUGUUCCUUUAUGAGUUGGUGAUUUAUCUGUAGGGUUUAUAAUUAAAGUGAAGUUCAAGCAUGUAACCUGUCUGUUUUUUUUUCUUUGGUUGCAUUGAGGAAAAAUGUAAUCUUUUUUAAGAAAUGGAAUUUCUUGGCUUUUUAAGCACAUAAUGAACAAUAUUCUCACUCAUACAACUUUAAUUCGUAUUUGUUGUUGAUUCAUGUUUCUUAGACUGGCUCGACCCUUGACAACGUUGAUGAUUGGAAAUGGAAGCUAACCAUGCUUCUUAAAAGUAAAGAUCAGCAAGAAGUUGUAUCCAGAGAGAAAAAGGACAGACGUGAUUUUGAGCAUCUAUCAGCUAUGGCAUCCCGAAUGGGUUUACACAGGUAUUUUUAAUCUUUUCUUAAAGUGUAAGCAUUUGUUUUGCUGUUUCUUCAUUAUAACCAUUGCGUGCAUAGUGUGAAUAUAAUUUAUUUUUUGCAGCCGUCAAUAUUCAAGAGUUGUUGUGUUUAGUAAAGUCCCCUUGCCAAAUUACAGACAUGAUCUGGAUGAUAAGCGUCCAGAGAGAGGUAUUUUCUUUUCUUAGUCCAUGUCCCUCACUGUUCAGUGUAUUAUAGUUUACAAUAUAAAAGAGUAAUGAAUUGAUAUGCUCUGAUCAUUCUGUUAGAAACUUGCUCUCAAAUACUUCUCAGCUCAUUAGAUCCAGGUGGGAACUUAUUGUUCUUUUCACUAAUUGAAGUAUGUGCAUAAUUCUUGGGGGGCUAAGUUUCUUCAUUCAUAUAAUUCACUUUUGCAAUGCGCUUGAAAAACUUAUAGGUGAUCUUACCUUUUGGGUUACAAAGAGAAGUAGAUGCUCAUUUCAAAGCUUACAUUUCCAAAAAGCCCACGAGCAGAGGAUUUUUUCCUCCUAAUUCCUUGUCAAGAUCAAACAGUGGUGGGAGUAUGGACACCGAUGAAAGAAUCUAUGAGCGGCCAGAACUGUCAGUACAAAAUAGUGUUGCCAUGGAAGAAUUCUUAGUCGGAAGAGUUUGCAGCUUCGUAAUCAACAAGAAAAGUGGCAGGUAAAUUUACCCUGAUCAGUUUCACAGAGUUAUCUUUUGCAACAACUGCCCUUCUUGUCUGUCAAGUCGUUUUGCAUUAUAACUUAUCAUGAUUUUCUUUACAUACAAGUAAAACAGUGGUGCCCUAGUGGUAUUAUGAUAUCUUAGUAGUGGGUGCCUUAGUACUGUUUUUCAGUGUUCUAGGAUUUGUGAUGAAGCACUUGGUAUAUUCAGGUAAACUUUGGUAGUGGCUCUUCCACUUUUUGAGAAUGUUGGCAUUAUGUUUCAGGAAGUACAUGAACUUUUUAAAACUCUUGUAAAUUUAUUUUCUGUCAAGGUUGUGUAGUGGAUAUGCAUCUUAAACAUCCUUAAUUUUAUAUUUGUUCCUGCUGGAACUUUUAAGUUUCUGCUGUCAAAUAUGUUGUCAUAAAGUAUUGGUUCUAUAAGGAGUCAAUUUAAUUUGUAUUAAGCACAUAUUUUACCUCUCAUUUUCUGCUAUACAUUAAUGUAACAUUACAAGAUAUGGUGUUGAUGGGUGUUAGUUCUUGUGUAGGAAUCUCCUGAGGGCCAAAAGAUGAUUGAAUUUCGUAGAAGCCUUCCUGCAUAUAAAGAAAAGGAUGUGCUGUUAAAAGCCGUAUCUGAAAAUCAGGUGAUUGUGAUAUGUUCUUUCUGUAAUUGCCUUCCGAUUGCAGUCCUUGCCUUAUGAGGUUGUAACUCCUGCUAGGACAGUCGUUUUUUCUUCAAUUUCAGCAUUCCUUCAUAAUUCAAUGCUAAGUCUUGACCAAGAUGAAACUUGUUUAUUUUUUCAAUAAAAUUUGUUCUCUUGGGAUUCUUGAACAAUUUUAUAUGCCAUGUCAAGGAAUGCAUUUCUCACCACUUUGGUUGUUGAGCAAGUAGGGUUAUAUGGUAUUGAUACCUAAUGCAGAUGGUUUGGUGCAUGACCAAAUUUUAUUUUUAAUACAACACCUCAAAUGGUUUAAACAGUGACAGUGUAUCAAUUAAUGCAUAUGGAGGCUAUGCUGUGUGUUCUUAUGGCUUUAUGGGUAGUGAUGCACGAGAAGGUCCAAUAAUGAUUGAAAAUAAAUUCCUGUUGGAAACUAUAUUGGUCAAUUGUAAGCAAGGUGUCCUCAAUUCAAGUAGGUGCAUCUUAAAUGUAAGAGACAAGAAUUGUAUAUAGGAAAAGAGCAAGCUGUUUAGGCAAUAAAAUUUGAAGGUUAAAACAAAAUUGUUAUGUGACAAAGUUGUCUCAGAGGAAUCCUGCUUUGAGAAUUAAAUUGUGCUAAAUCCAUCUCUUGAAUCUAAUAUAAUAUGGACCACUCAAGUCAUCCAAGUGAUGGAUGUGUGCAUGAACAAAUGAUUAUGGUUGCAACUAGCAUUAUGGCUCGUAUCUUACAAAUGACCAUUUAUAUUUACAAUAAACUGAUGCAUGUUUGCAGGUUAUUGUUGUCUCUGGUGAAACUGGUUGUGGUAAAACCACACAACUUCCUCAAUACAUACUAGAAUCUGAGAUUGAAGCUGCUCGCGGAGCUGCAUGUAGUAUUAUAUGUACACAGCCUAGAAGAAUAUCGGCUAUGGCUGUUUCUGAAAGAGUUGCUGCAGAACGAGGGGAGAAACUGGGAGAAUCAGUUAGUCCAUGCCUCUGAUAUGAUGAAUCUUUUAUUAAAAAUCAGGAGUUUGUAAAUUAUUUUGAUCUAUGCUAUUUUGCUCUCGUUUUAAAAGGUUGGUUAUAAAGUUCGGCUUGAGGGUAUGAGAGGAAGGGACACUCGACUUCUAUUCUGUACGACAGGCAUAUUGUUGAGGAGAUUACUUCUGGACAGAAAUUUAAAAGGUGUAACUCAUGUCAUCGUUGAUGAGAUUCAUGAACGCGGAAUGAAUGAAGGUAACUUGGAAUUCAUUUAAGAUAUUUGUUGUUAUAUCACUUGAUAUUUACCAUGGUUCUCUUAUUUGUCAGAUUUCCUUCUUAUUGUACUGAGAGAUCUGCUUCCUCGUCGACCGGAGUUGAGAUUGAUUUUGAUGAGUGCCACCUUAAAUGCGGAGCUUUUCUCUUCCUACUUUGGUGGUGCUCCAACAAUUCAUAUUCCUGUAAGUCUUACAUUGCUAAUUUCUGUCCUGAUAAAGUGUAGGAAACCAAUCCCUUAUCCUUUGAAACCAGCAGGCAAAGAUCUUGUUAAUUUUGCUGCUUAAUUUAACUGUACGGGUUAACCUCUUAGCUUAUUUCAAGUUACUACUUACUAAUCUGGUUGCCUGUUCAGUUUUUUGGAAUUUCUUGAUGCUUAGGUGGCAGAAUGCUUUCUCUAGAGUUUCUUUCACUCCUUUUUUUGGUUUUGCCAGUGUUCAUUUGCUCUUCGUUCUUUUGCCACCCUUGUUUUUGGUGCGAUCCAUUUGUGUACCUCUCUGCAUACUCCAUUACUAGUUAAAUUAAAAGUCCUAAGCUAAGUAGAAAACAAAUAAUUAAAAUCUAAAAUUAACCAGGAAAAUGAUUAAAACAAGAAAACAUUAACUUCAGACUUUAUAUCAAAUGAUUUUGGGUUUCUUUGUGGACUUUUUUUUCAGGCUUGGUCUUGUCAAUCUGGUUCAUAAACUCUUGAGAUAAUUGUUCUACUUCAAUAUAGCGAAGAUAAAACUAGGGUUCUCAAGCUCUAAGGUUAUUGACCAAAUUGUAGACAUGUAGAGAAAAUUGUUUGGUAUUUUAUUGAAUCUGAAUAAUAGUCUUGAUCUUCAUAAAAUAAACUAGAUAUCCUUAUUUAUAUUAGUACUAAAAUAAAUCCUUUAUAAGAAAGGAUUUCUAAUUAAAAUUUAUUUAAUUAAUAGAAUCCAUCUACUAUUAGGAUUACUAAAUAGUAAAAUACUAAUUAAAUUUAAAGAUUUAAAGCCCUAAGCUAAGUAGAAAACAAAUAAUAAAAAUCCAAAAUUAACUAGGAAAAUAAUUAAAACAGGAAAUACAAUAACUUCAUAUUUCAAUCUAGUCUAUAAACUCUUGGGAUAAUUGUUCGACAUCAUAAGAACAUAGCAAACAAUAUGGUUUGGCUUGGACAUAGUACUAAUCUUUAAAAAUUGGUUGAUACAUGCACAUGUAGUUUUAGACUUAUGUUGAGUUAGAUACAGUAGAAAAACAAAGAAGUGGUGUGUGAAACGAGCUAAAGAAUGAGUAAACAUGUCAUGUUUUUUAUUUUAUUCUUCAUGAAAAAUACUUAACAAUGGUUACUUUCUUAUGUAUCCAAUCUCUUAAGAGAAUGUAUUAAGAUUUCCCCCCCUCUUCACCUCCAAAACCAAACACCUCCUAGAUGUAAAACAUUGUGCUUCUCUUGUUAAUUUACCUGCAACAUAACUUCACGGUGUGCAUUAUUUUUGUUCUUUUCUCUUUGGUCAUGCAUGCACUUCUUUUUUUAUGUUACAAUUGUGAUUUUUGAUACCUAUCUUAUUAAUCCAAAGUAGAAAGAACAUGAUUUGAUUGCUUGGUAGAUUCAAGAUGUCUUUCUCUUUUUGGACGGUAAUGGUUUUGUGCCCAAUUUUCCAGGGUUUUACAUAUCCUGUCCGUGCACAUUUUUUAGAGAAUAUUCUUGAAAUAACCGGAUAUCGGCUGACUCCUUACAAUCAAAUCGACGAUUAUGGUCAAGAAAAGACGUGGAAAAUGCAAAAACAAGCUCAAGCUUUCAAAAAGAGGAAGAGCCAGAUUGCUUCUUCUGUUGAGGUAUAUAAAUUCAUGAAAUUGUCUGAUUCAUGUAACAUGCAUGAGUUUGUUUUUUCACCAAGCUAUCUCUGCCUUACAACUUUUUGACAGGAUGCCCUUGAAGUUGCUGACUUUAAGGGGUGUAGUUCACGCACUCGGGAGUCUUUAUCUUGUUGGAAUCCUGACUCAAUUGGUUUUAACCUCAUUGAGCAUGUUCUUUGUCACAUAGUUAAGAAAGAGAGACCUGGUGCUGUGUUGGUUUUUAUGACUGGUUGGGAUGACAUUAACUCUUUAAAAGAUCAGCUACAAGCUCAUCCUAUCUUGGGUGAUCCUUGCAGAGUAUUGUUACUGGCCUGCCAUGGUUCCAUGGCCAGCUCUGAGCAGGUGAUUUCAUUGUCUUUGAUAUGAUAUUGAAAUAGCACAUAAAUUAAACCCCUAAUUUUGCUUUUCCUUUUUGCCAUUUUUUCUGGUUUCCCACAUUUUCGUUAUUGUUUGGAAAUAUGCAGUGAAUUUGUAUUGUUUAUUCCAGUGAUUGGCAUUUUCCUGAUUCCUGAUCCCUUUUGUUUUCAUCCAGAGGUUAAUAUUUGAUAAACCCGAAGAUGGAGUGAGGAAAAUUGUCUUAGCUACAAAUAUGGCUGAGACUAGUAUUACUAUCAAUGAUGUGGUAUUUGUGGUUGAUUGUGGAAAGGCAAAGGAGACAUCGUAUGAUGCUUUAAAUAAUACUCCUUGUUUGCUUCCAUCCUGGAUCUCAAAGGCUGCUGCCCGGCAAGUAAGGCCCACUCUCUUAAACAUCAACUUUACAAGAGUUAGGUUGGAUGUCCAUAGGAAAGUGGCCAGAACAUUACUUUAUAAGAUGUUUGGUCUUGUUUAUAAUGUGUACUGUCCACAUAAAUUGUUAAUAAGCAGAAAAAAUUCCCUUCUUAGGCUUUUUUAUAGCCCUAAAAGCAGCAUAUUAUUGAGUAAGUUUUUAGAUUUUAAACUGCAUUAUUUACACUCUAUAUGAUUAAGAAACUCUCUCCCAAACAUUCUCGUUUCUGCAUGCUAAAUCAUUGCAAGUGGAAGUUCCAAGUACAGUUGAUAAAAUAGUUGUUAAUAGUGAAAUGGUCUUCCCUUUUGGUUCUUUGGCAUAAACAUGGUAUGGUGCAGGAAAAAAAGGGAGGUAGACUGGAUAGCAGAUCUUUUAUCCAAAUCCAAACAUACGUCCAGAAUAUUUUUGGUUAAUUUAUGUGCAGCUUGCCAAAAUUCUUAUUUUUAUGAACAAUAAUGUUUCAAUCUGCCUAGAUAUUUUUGUCUUAGCUUUGGCAUGAAAAAUCCUAUCAAUUUUCCACAUGCUUGUUGUUGCACAGAGAAUUUUUCUGUAAUUAAAAUGAUUUAUGGCUUUUUUUAAGGGUAUAGUUUUUCUGGACAAUUGCUUUUGCAUUGAGAGUUAGUUUUCUGGUUUGGUUAUAAUGGUGUUCGGUGUUUGCUUUUCAGAGAAAGGGAAGAGCUGGUCGUGUUCAACCUGGCGAGUGUUAUCUUCCCAGAUGUUGUUUAUGAUGCAUUUGCUGACUAUCAAUUACCAGAACUUUUGAGGACACCUUUACAGUCUUUGAGUUUGCAAAUCAAAAGUCUCCAACUUGGAAGUAUAUCAGAGUUCCUAUCAAGGGCCCUGCAGCCACCAGAGCCUCUAUCGGUAAUUCCUAACUGAGCCUGUUAUCAAAAUCUGCAUAUUGGUGGAUCUUGCUCGUGCCAGUCUCCUGGCUUGCCACUUUAAUUUUCGAGUUUUAACACAGCUCCAACAUUUGCUUUCUUUCUUUCUCUCGCUCUUAUUUUUGUCUACAUUUAAGUUUUCUACAUCUGUUUUGUGUUGUAGGUUCAAAAUGCUGUUGAGUAUUUGAAGUUGAUUGGGGCUUUAGAUGAGCAUGAAAAUCUUACAGUGCUAGGUGCAGCAUUUGUUUUUCUUCCAAAAGUUCAUUUUGAAUCUCAUAUCCAAUUUUUUGAUUUUUUUUAAGAUAGCGAUGGUUAAUUCUUCAAAUAAUUGAUGCUAAAUAAGGAUUGGUGCUUUUCAGGACGUCAUUUGUCAGUGCUUCCAGUUGAGCCUAAGCUCGGGAAAAUGCUCAUAUUGGGGACCAUUUUCAACUGCCUAGAUCCAAUCAUGACUGUCGUUGCUGGUCUCAGUGUUAGAGAUCCAUUCUUAAUACCAUUUGACAAGAAGGAUGUAAGUCUCCAGCAUAUCUAUAGUUUCGCCUGAUGUUUCGAUUAAUUUUUAGUGUGUAAUUGAUGAUAUUCUUUUCUCCAUGGAUUUAGUUUGGUAGAACUAUCAUCAUAUCUUGAUCUGAUUUUUUUGGGCAUAAAUGUAUAAAUAUAGGUAAGAAUGAUAGGAGGGGUAUGGUGCUUUAACUCGGAAACUUAUGCUUUGUUUACCAUGGUGUAUAUGAUUGAGACGUAAUAGAAGACUUUUUAGAGGCAAGGAGAGAACUGCCUUUGAUGUCAAGUGAAUGUUUCUGAGAACCUUGUUCCAUUGGUUACCUAUGCAUAUUUCUUUUUCUAGUUUUUUUUCUUCCUCAGAAGAUUUGGAUUCCUUAAGUUUAAGGUCUCAGCUCUCCUUUCUUCAUGUUUCUGUUCUUGUUGUUUGUUACAGUCCUGUCAAAUAAAUCUACUUGAUGAAAGGAAAAUGAGUUUUUAUCUCAAUAUUCUUUCUUAAGAGAUUUUCAGUUUGUAAUAUUUAAAAUUAGCAGUUCAGAGAUGCAGAAAAAAGAUUUGUUUGACCAAGAAAGGUACACAAGAAACCACUUCUUUAUCCCUUUUCUGUUCUUUGUGUGAAUUUCAAUUGUUCAUCUCUUGAGGGGUUGUCUUGUCUGUGGCAGGUGUUUUGUUGAAAUCUAUGAGGAUGUUUUAAGACCAAGUUUCAUGUUGUCAAAUACAAGGAGUCUAGGAAUGACUUGCAAUUUUUCCUUGCAGCUUGCAGAGUCUGCAAAAGCACAAUUCGCUGGUCGUGAUUGCAGUGACCAUAUUGCACUUGUCCGGGCCUAUAAUGGUUGGAAAGAUGCAGAAAGACAACAAUCUGGUCAUGAGUACUGUUGGAAGAAUUUUCUUUCUGCACAGACUCUAAAAGCCAUUGAUUCCUUAAGGAAACAAUUCUUUUACUUGCUCAAGGAUACUGGACUGGUUGAUAAGCAGAUAGAAAAUUGCAAUUCAAGGGGCUUUGAUGAGCAUCUUAUGCGAGCAGUCAUCUGUGCUGGCCUGUUCCCUGGAAUGUGCUCUGUUGUGGUAAGUCAUACUGCAAAUUUGCUGUGUAUUUCUUUUAUUCUCUUUGAUUUUGCAGUUUUUUAGAUUCAAGAAACAGUUUCUAUUCCUCGCCUAGUUCAUGCUUCCAGCUUCUGUUUGUCCUAUAACCUGAAAUUCCAAUGAGCCAAAUAGAAUGAAUGGUGCUUUAGGCUUUGUUCAAGAAAUGAAAUGGAGAAGUAGGGCAUGGGUAGGUCAAGAAAUAGAAGAGAAACAGUGAUGAAGUUCUAGGGCCUUUCUAUUAAUUGGAACAUAAUCACAGGCUUUCAGAGCUAGUAAUUAGUGAACCUUUUCUUGUUGAGAUGGUAUAAUGUCUGCAUCAUAUAAUUUUGUUAUGUAGAACAAGGAGAAGUCGAUAACACUGAAAACAAUGGAGGAUGGCCAGGUGCUUCUGUACUCGGUAAGUUUCACAUCUGUAAAUACCAUUGUCUUCCUUGAAGGCACUGUUUUAUCUACCCUGUUUUUAAUUGAGAAUACCACCACAUUCAAAUUUAUAAUCAUUCAUUUUUUUCCUGAAUGUAUUUCACAANNNNNNNNNNNNNNNNNNNNNNNNNNNNNNNNNNNNNNNNNNNNNNNNNNNNNNNNNNNNNNNNNNNNNNNNNNNNNNNNNNNNNNNNNNNNNNNNNNNNUGGUAUAACCUCAAGUGCCUCAGCAAAUGACUUCACACAGUAUCCUUCCAUCCCAUGCAGCACCUUGGCCCAUGCUCCAAGCUGUCUUGACAACUCAAUCUCUGGUGCCCCACCACCUGCAAUCAAAAACUGUUUAUUCACCAAACACCUAAUGACACAUAAGGCAUCAUGCAAGCUCCGAUCUGCCUCAUCAAGAACUAACUGAUUGGACCCACGUACAAGCACACAGGUAGUCCUUCCCAUAUCCUUAAUCCCAGUAAUCUUGACAAUCUUCCCAUCUCCAAGCGAAACCUCCUCAACAAGAUCCGCAUGCCCCAACUUUUCCUCUUUGAAAUGCUCAAUAUUUGCAAUGGGCAAACAAUUCAAAGUCUUAGUAAUGAACUCAAUCUCAUCCCUCUCCACAUCCUUAAUCACCAAAAUCUUCGCUUUCGCCAGAUAAUGCAAGGACAAAUCUGUCACCGCAUCCCUCAAAAUACUCUUCUGAAUCAGCAACACAUUACACCCAGUUGCCCUAAUCUUCUUAAUCAUACCCAAAAUAUAAUUCCUCUCUUCCUUCAGAAUCCUAUCCAUUUGUGCAUAAUCAGAUACCACUAUACUCUGCUCAAUAUCAGUCUUCGGCGGGGAAAUCUGAAACUGAAUAACCGCAAUCUUGGCAUUCUCAACACGCGUCAGCCCACCUGCAGCAUGACUCACUUUCUUAUCAAAAACCAAACCCCUAACCAUCUCAGUAUCAUCCACGGUUCCACCCAGCUUUUUCACUAUCUUAAUAUCCCUAAGAUCAACUAAAUCUGGCUUCUCAGGAUCCACAACUGUCAAAACAGCAUCAACAGCUAAUGGAGCUAGCAACGACGAAUACUGACUAACAACUUUACUAUUUAAUGAAGUACUAGCAGAUUUCACCAACGAAUCACGGUCCGUUAACUCUAAAGGCACAGCCAUUGCAGUUAAAACAUCAACAGCUUUGAUUGAAGCUUUAUGUAAUGAAUCGGAGAUUACCGUAGGGUGGAUACCAGAGGAGAGGAGUGAAAGGCACUGCUUAAGCAACGAUCCGGCAAUAACAACGACGGUGGUGGUGCCGUCACCAGCAGCGGUGUCUUGAGAUUUAGAGAGUUCAACAAGCAUCUUCGCAGCCGGUUGGAGAACCUCCAUCUUGUUAAGAAUGGUGGCGCCGUCAUUGGUAAUGAUGACUUCGCCGCUCGCAGUUGAAAUCAUUUUGUCCAUUCCUUUAGGACCAAGACUGGUUCUGACGGCGUCAGCCACCGCGCAAGCGGACUUGAUGUUGGCAUGGCGGAUGUCUUCUUUCCGCUUGUUGUCAACGUACGACUCGGUUUUGGAAGAUCGAGGAGCGGAUUUUGCUACAGUGCCAUUGAUUGUUUUUCUAAACGCUAACCCUAAUUUAGUGGCGAGAGAGUGUAAAUUAAAAAAGGAGGUAGGGGUAAACGAGAAAGAGAGAAACCCUAGAGAGCGAUGGAAUGAGAUCGAGAGAGUUCUGUAAC